rnacentral:rRNA from 1 species
AAAUAAUCUCAUACCACCCUGAGAACACCCGAUCUUGCCUGAUCUUGGAAGCUAAGCAGGGUCGGGCCCGGUUAGUACUUGGAUGGGAGACCGCCUGGGAAUACCGGGUGCUGUAGGCU